CAUAAUCAUUAGCUUAUUAAUUGUAAAAUUGUAUGAAUGGUUGGACGAAAUAUUAACUGUCUCAUUAUUAUAUUUAAAAUUUAAUUUUUGAGUUAAAAAGCUUAAAUUUUUUUAAAGGACGAAAAAACCCUAUAAAUCUUUAUUUUUAAUAUUUUAUUUCUUUUUGAUUUUUUUUAUUUAUUGAAUUUUUAAUUGGGGGGAUUUUGAAAUAUAAUUAACUCUUUAUUUUUUUUUUCAUUUAUUUA
rnacentral:rRNA from 1 species